AGGAGUUCAGCUUCAAGUGAAACUGCGAACGGCUCAUUAGAGCAGAUGUCAUUUAUUCGGAAAAUCUUAUUGGAUAACUGCGGUAAUUCUGGAGCUAAUACAUGCGAUUAAACCCUGACUUUCGAAAGGGUGCAAUUAUUAGAGCAAAUCAAUCAUUUUCGGAUGUAGUUUGCUGACUCUGAAUAACGCAGCAUAUCGGCGGCUUGUUCGCCGAUAAUCCGAAAAAGUGUCUGCCCUAUCAACCUGAUGGUAGUCUAUUAGUCUACCAUGGUUAUUACGGGUAACGGAGAAUAAGGGUUCGACUCCGGAGAGGGAGCCUUAGAAACGGCUACCACAUCCAAGGAAGGCAGCAGGCGCGAAACUUAUCCAAUCUUGAAUAGAUGAGAUAGUGACUAAAAAUAAAAAGACCAUUCCUAUGGAACGGUUAUUUCAAUGAGUUGAUCAUAAACCUUUUUUCGAGUACCAAGUGGAGGGCAAGUCUGGUGCCAGCAGCCGCGGUAAUUCCAGCUCCACUAGUGUAAAUCGUCAUUGCUGCGGUUAAAAAGCUCGUAGUUGGAUCUGAGUUGCAUGCAAUGAUUCGCCUUUGGCGUUAAUCAUUGUUGUGACUAUUUGCUGGUUUUCUAUUGAAAUUUCGAUUUCUUUAGUGGCUAGCGAGUUUACUUUGAAUAAAUUAGAGUGCUCAGAACAAGCGUUUGCUUGAAUGGUCGAUCAUGGAAUAAUAAAAGAGGACUUCGGUUCUAUUUAUUGGUUCAGGAACUGAAGUAAUGAUUAAGAGGGACAAUUCGGGGGCAUUCGUAUCCCUGCGCGAGAGGUGAAAUUCGUGGACCGCAGGGGGACGCCCUAAAGCGAAAGCAUU
rnacentral:rRNA from 1 species